rnacentral:lncRNA from 1 species
CUGAAAAUUGUGUUUGAUUUAUGAUGUGGGACUUUAUUUUUGUAGUCAGAAAAGUGCCACUAUGGGAAUCUGAUCAGCAUGCUCAGAAGUAAGCCUCCAGAAAAAUUAUUUAGCAGUGAUACUCAGAUGGUAGUGAAGUAACAAGGGCUGCAGGGAGUCCUGCAGGUUAGAGUUAAUAAGGGCCUGAAUGAAAAACUACUCACAGAAAAAAAUGAAAGAAGAGGACAGAGAAGCAGCACCAGAAUGGUGUAGUCAGGAUUAGCAGAGAAAAAUGUUUUCAGGAAAAGUGUUAACAAAAUUAAAGAUAUAAUACAAAUUCCCCAAAGAUCUUGUUUCCAAAACCUGAAUGUGAACAAGCAUUGGAACAACACUGUAAAAUAUAAAUUCUAAUUUGAAAAAGAUAUGUCCAUCUAAAGCUUGUAUUUAUCUUUGGAUGAAAAUACUAAUGUUAAUACACUUUACUGAAAAAAUGAGUAACCACCAAUAACUACUAUUCUUUC